rnacentral:rRNA from 1 species
CUGCCCGGUAGCUAAAUGCGGAAGAGAUAAGUGCUGAAAGCAUCUAAGCACGAAACUUGCCCCGAGAUGAGUUCUCCCUGAGACUUUAGGUCUCCUGAAGGAACGUUGAAGACGACGACGUUGAUAGGCCGGGUGUGUAAGCGCAGCGAUGCGUUGAGCUAACCGGUACUAAUGAACCGUGAGGCUUAACCUU